rnacentral:lncRNA from 1 species
GAAAGAAAGAAAAUGAAGACCGACCAAAAGCAGGAAAUUUUCAUGGCUUUCAGAGCAAGAAACAAUACCUUUGGGAAAAACUGGCCUUUGGCUCGGGCCGUGUCCCCUUCUCAGAUCAGCAUCCCUUUUCUUCCCCUGCUUUCCCAACUCUGCAGCAAAGCCGGCCGAUGAUCUUUUGACGGUUCACUGUGGGAGCGCCACGGCGGGGCUCCUUCUCCCCUGUUUCUAAGUCCCUGAGCCUGGGACGGCAUGUCCCGGCCCGCUCGUCACCAAUGCAGCCCCGGAUGGCUCGUUGCUCCCUGUUAAGGAAGCUUCUGGCCCAGGGCUCAAGAAGCUCUCUAAUGACCGCCCAUGAUGGAAAGAGACAGGAAUGUACCUCUCCACCCUGGUUAUCCCCUUACUUCUUAAAUUGGCUCAACAUCUCUAGGUGACCCUUCAGACUUAAUUGCAAUCUUAAGAACAGUUAGUUAAGAGCAAGGCUGAAAUCACUUAGGCUAGGUAUUGGAAUGGCUAACCGGAAAGGCUAGAGAGGAUGGGGAACCCCCAUUAGUUAAAGGAUUAUGGGCAUGGAAGAUGGAGAGCCUUGAGAGGCAAGGAGAGGGCUUCUUUUAAGAACCUCAGCUAUCUCACAGUUGUCUUCAUUGUUCCAAAAACAUGUAUAUUCAUGCCAGCAGUAAAUAGUUCUUUGCAUCUUGUGAUCAACCACCCUAAUGGCCCAAUCCUCUCCCCUCCCUUCAUCCAUGCCCUUUGCCAUAUAAAUUUUCCCUCUCUGCUGAGCAGAUUGAAAUUCCCAGCCAUGGGCUGAGCCUUGCAUCCUUCUCCACUGACCAACUGGACAUCAGCAGACAAGGCACAGGCAUGCUGUCUUGCCUCCUGUUGUGCUUAUGCCAUGACCAUGAGAGGGACUAGCCCUUAGUCCCCAGAAGUGUCUGAGAAACCUUGAAGCAGAGUUGCCCCAGCUGAGUACAAGGGAGCCAGCUCAGUGGAGACUAGCCAGGCCCAGCCUAGGUCAACUAGGCUCUACAGACCUAUAAAGAAUAGAUGUUGAUUGUAGUAAGCUGAUGCUACCAUCUAAGUUUUGUUAUGCCACAAUUUUGUGGCAAUACUAAAUCCUUCAUAAAGCUACAAUCUUCUAGGAACUGUUCAGAACACUGGAGAAAGCAACAGGGAAUAAAACUGAGCCACAACUCUCAUGGAACCUACAUUCCAAUAGAGCACUUUACACACAUGUAUUAUCACUUAAUCCCCCUAAGCCCUGGUGGCAGUCCCAUUUGGGGGAUGAGGAAACUGAGACUCGAGAAGGCUAAUUUGCUUGCUAAUUAUAACAACCCAGUAAAUGCCAGAGCUGAGAUCUGAACUCAUAUCUUCUGACUCCAAGUGCUACCCUCUUUCUGCUGCUCCAUAGCAUCCUCUACUUUCCUGCUGACGUCAGCACCUCUCACUGGAGUUCCAGAGGGACCUGACUUGGGUGGGAAGACAGAUGGGAACUGCAAGUUGGACCCAAAGAGGACUGCUCUGUUACCAACAAAAUGAGACACAACUCUCAUUUUUAUCCCCUGAAAUUGUUCCUCCUUGCAAUUAAACCAAUCUCUGUUUACAAGUAUUUAGCACGAUUCUAGAAAUUACAUUUUGAAAUUAUGCGAACAGAGAGAGAAGGCAACCCACACAGUGAGCGAUUUCUUGUGGAUAAUUGGCUGCUGGUUCUGGCUCCAAUGAUGCCUUCUCUUUUAGAACAUAAUUAGUGAUUUCAAAGAAAACUGUUAGAAAUGGCCCAGGUCUUUAAAGAAAGGCUUUUCCAGUUCCUAGCAUUAGGAGAGCUACUCAAAUGCAUGCUGACAAAUUUCCCUUUUUGUUUUUUGGGUUUUUUUUCCCUUUUUUAUAAUGACCUCUCAGGCUAUUUUCCAAAGAUUGGUAAGGUUGUGGAUGUAUAGAACUCUUCCAGAUAUGGGAGAAAUCCCAGAUUCCCAUCAGAAAACUUAGAAUCUCCUUCCUUUUUUACCUUCCUUCCUCCUUUUUUCCCUGCCUUCCUUCCUUCUCGCCUUCCUUCUGAGAAAGAACAGAGUAUUUAGGAGUUCCCAUCAUGCCUCAGUGGUUAACGAAUCCGACUAGGAACAAUGAGGUUGCGGGUUUGAUCCUUGGCCUUGCUCAGUGGGUUAAGGAUCUGGCAUUGCUGUGAGCUGUGGUGUAGGUCGCAGAAGAGGUUCAGAUCCAGCGUUGCUGUGUCUCUGGCGUAGGCCGGCAGCUACAGCUCUGAUUCGACCCCUAGCCUGGAAACCACCAUAUGCCGCACGUGCAGCUCUAGAAAGACAAAAAGACAAAAAAAAAAAAAAAGACAAAAAAAAAA